AAAACACCUUUUCUCCGAGGACGUAAAUUUCUUCCGAGGACUUUUUUUACGUCCUCGGUAAAAAAUUCUCUAUUUCGUUAGAAAAUGUCGAACUAAAUCACGUGGUGAAGUUUGGUGAAAGUCCUCUGAAGGUUAGUAACAUGUGAAUAUGUGUUACGUCGUCACACAAUUUUAUCCCUCUGCCAUAACACACUCUGCAUAUUUCCGACGCGGGUGGGUGCGCGCGCAUCCGAAUGGAAUUUUUUUAAUGCGCGCGCAUCGGCAUGCCGGAAAUCAUGAAAGGUCUUUGCUCAGCAUCAUGAGCAUGACAUGGUUUGCAUUAUUUACAACGGUGUUGCAUGGUAGACAUUCUCGGACUGGAGUCCCUGUUUAGGGGAAAGCUAGCUUUGUUGAAGAGGAUGAAGAUGUGGAUUCAGAAAGUAAAGAUUUGAGAAUGGAGGAUGAUGAUGAGAGUCUUGUUGAUAGCUUUGAUCAUGAAGAUAGCCCAGAUGAAAGUGUUGUUUGUCCAAUUCAACAAAGAGCAGAGAAAUCGCUGAAAGCAAAACCAAAACGAGUUCCAUGGACAGACACGGAGAAAAAAAAGCUGUGAAGUCUGAGCUUGGACACUUUAUAAGUAAACUAAAGGUUCCUGGCAAGCUGGAGUGUGAUAAAAAGAGAAAAGAACUUUCCAGGAGAACGUGGAAGGAUGUAAAGAACUUUGUGCACAAUUCUAUACAAACUGUAAAGAGGAAGUACCAUUUUAAGGACUAAACUUAAAGGUUAAAGUUUUUGGUGCACUGAAUUUUCUGAAACUUUGUAGGUAUCUCAUACAUAAUGUGUAGAUUUGUAUAUUACCGAGAAAUUUUGAUUCCAUUAGGCCUUAUUAAUCUAGAAAUGUCAGCCCAAUUUAAUUUGUUACAAAGAAAGCUUUGAAUGUUGUUAUAUGCAAGAAGUUUUGAUAUGAUGAUUUUUUUGCAAAUUAUGCCCCUUUUUAAAUGUAUUAUACUGUGUAUUUAAAGUGCACCAUGUCACGCAUUGUCAAGUUUCAGGGGAGCAUGGGCUAUGUAAGCUUACUCACUUUUUAUUUCAUGUAUAUAGUAUGUGCAAGCCUUCAAAUGAAAUCUACUGUGUAUUGGUUAAGAAAAUUACUUGCAUUACAUGUAACAUGAUAUGUAUUUUCACAUGAUGUUAUAACCCCAACAAACAAUGUUUGGAAUUGAUCUUUGAUUAGUAUUUGUCCAUUUUUGACAGUUCUAGUAUUUGUUAUGAUGUAUGAUACAAUUAUGGAACGUAACAUUGAAAGUUUACUGUUCAAAUUAAAUUAUAUGCUAAAAAUGAAUUUGUAAUGUCAUAUUUGUUAUGAUACAGUAUUUUUCUAUUGUAAUGUAUGCUUAAUAAUUAUACUAAAGAGAAAAUUAUAUAUGGAUGAAAUAAAAGAUGAAGUACUGUA